GCCCGGGCGGCAGCUUACCAUGCAGUCGACGGUCUCUUCGGAGGCAGUGGCAGACGGGUGAGUAAUGCAUGGGAAUCUACCGUUCUCUACGGAAUAACUCAGGGAAACUUGUGCUAAUACCGUAUACGCCCUUUUGGGGAAAGAUUUAUCGGAGAAUGAUGAGCCCAUGUUGGAUUAGCUAGUUGGUAGGGUAAAGGCCUACCA
rnacentral:rRNA from 1 species